rnacentral:rRNA from 1 species
CACGUAGGGGACGAGCGUUGUCCGGAAUUACUGGGCGUAAAGGGCGCGCAGGCUGCGUUACAAGUCAGCUGUUAAAUGCAUGGGCUUACCCCAUGAGUGCGGUUGAAACUGUAGUGCUAGAGUACUGUAGAGGCAAGCGGAAUUCCCAGUGUAGCGGUGAAAUGCGUAGAUAUUGGGAGGAACACCGGUGGCGUAGGCGGCUUGCUGGACAGUAACUGACGCUGAGGCGCGAAAGCCAGGGGAGCAAACGGGAUUAGAUACCCGU